rnacentral:rRNA from 1 species
AAACCGGAGCUAAUACAGGAUAAUAUAUUGAACCGCAUGGUUCAAUAGUGAAAGACGGUUUUGCUGUCACUUAUAGAUGGAUCCGCGCCGCAUUAGCUAGUUGGUAAGGUAACGGCUUACCAAGGCAACGAUGCGUAGCCGACCUGAGAGGGUGAUCGGCCACACUGGAACUGAGACACGGUCCAG